CCUACGGGAGGCAGCAGUGAGGAAUAUUGGACAAUGGGCGCAAGCCUGAUCCAGCCAUGCCGCGUGCAGGAUGACGGUCCUAUGGAUUGUAAACUGCUUUUAUACGAGAAGAAACACCCCUACGUGUAGGGACUUGACGGUAUCGUAAGAAUAAGGAUCGGCUAACUCCGUGCCAGCAGCCGCGGUAAUACGGAGGAUCCAAGCGUUAUCCGGAAUCAUUGGGUUUAAAGGGUCCGUAGGCGGUUUAGUAAGUCAGUGGUGAAAUCUCCCCGCUCAACGGGGAAACGGCCAUUGAUACUGCUAGACUUGAAUUAUUAGGAAGUAACUAGAAUAUGUAGUGUAGCGGUGAAAUGCUUAGAGAUUACAUGGAAUACCAAUUGCGAAGGCAGGUUACUACUAAUGGAUUGACGCUGAUGGACGAAAGCGUGGGUAGCGAACAGGAUUAGAUACCCUGGUAGUCCACGCCGUAAACGAUGGAUACUAGCUGUUGGGUGCAAACUCAGUGGCUAAGCGAAAGUGAUAAGUAUCCCACCUGGGGAGUACGUUCGCAAGAAUGAAACUUAAGGAUUGACGG
rnacentral:rRNA from 1 species